rnacentral:rRNA from 1 species
UACGGAGGGUGCAAGCGUUAUCCGGAUUCACUGGGUUUAAAGGGUGCGUAGGAGGGCAGGUAAGUCAGUGGUGAAAUCUCCGAGCUUAACUUGGAAACUGCCGUUGAUACUAUCUGUCUUGAAUACCGUGGAGAUGAGCGGAAUAUGUCAUGUAGCGGUGAAAAUGCUUAGAUAUGACAUAGAACACCAAUUGCGAAGGCAGCUCGUUACACGAAUAUUGACUCUGAGGCACGAAAAGCGUGGGGGAUCAAAACAGG